UGGGGAAUUUUGGACAAUGGGCGAAAGCCUGAUCCAGCAAUGCCGCGUGUGUGAAGAAGGCCUUCGGGUUGUAAAGCACUUUUGUCCGGAAAGAAAUCCUUGGCUCUAAUACAGUCGGGGGAUGACGGUACCGGAAGAAUAAGCACCGGCUAACUACGUGCCAGCAGCCGCGGUAAUACGUAGGGUGCAAGCGUUAAUCGGAAUUACUGGGCGUAAAGCGUGCGCAGGCGGUUUGCUAAGACCGAUGUGAAAUCCCCGGGCUCAACCUGGGAACUGCAUUGGUGACUGGCAGGCUAGAGUAUGGCAGAGGGGGGUAGAAUUCCACGUGUAGCAGUGAAAUGCGUAGAGAUGUGGAGGAAUACCGAUGGCGAAGGCAGCCCCCUGGGCCAAUACUGACGCUCAUGCACGAAAGCGUGGGGAGCAAACAGGAUUAGAUACCCUGGUAGUCCACGCCCUAAAACGAUGUCAACUAGUUGUUGGGGAUUCAUUUCCUUAGUAACGUAGCUAACGCGUGAAGUUGACCGCCUGGGGAGUACGGUCGCAAGAUUAAAACUCAAUGAAUUGACGGGGUCAUAGCUGUUU
rnacentral:rRNA from 1 species